rnacentral:rRNA from 1 species
UGGCUCAGGAUGAACGCUGGCGGCAGGCUUAACACAUGCAAGUCGAGGGGCAGCGCGAGGGUAGCAAUACCUUUGGCGGCGACCGGCGCACUGGUGAGUAACACGUAUGCGACCUGCCCCGGACAGGGGGAUAAACCCGGGAAACUGGGCCUAAUACCCCAUACGCCCAGGAGAUGCAUGUCUUCUGGGUGAAAGAUCCGUCGGUCCGGGAUGGGCAUGCGGCGCAUUAGCUUGUUGGCGGGGUAACGGCCCACCAAGGCGACGAUGCGUAGGGGUUCUGAGAGGAAGGUCCCCCACACUGGUACUGAGACACGGACCAGACUCCUACGGGAGGCAGCAGUGGGGAAUA